UACGUAGGGUGCGAGCGUUGUCCGGAAUUAUUGGGCGUAAAGAGCUCGUAGGCGGUGUGUCACGUCGGCCGUGAAAACCUGCAGCUUAACUGUGGGCGUGCGGUCGAUACGGGCAUCACUGGAGUUCGGCAGGGGAGACUGGAAUUCCUGGUGUAGCGGUGAAAUGCGCAGAUAUCAGGAGGAACACCGAUGGCGAAGGCAGCUCGCUGGGGACGAUACUGACGCUGAGGCGCGAAAGCGUGGGGAGCAAACAGG
rnacentral:rRNA from 1 species